GGCCAGACGACAGUAUGCAGCCAGCGCCAGGACUAGCAGAGGGGUGACCAAGAGGAAGCCCACCACCAGCAAAGCCACACAGCCUCCAUCGGAUGAUACAUUUUUUAAGAAGGCUCCGCUCCCACAUAGUCGCACACACGAAAACCUUGGCUGAUCUGCCGGCCGCCAUCACAAUCCAGAGGAUGACGUGGUGUAUGCGGUAUGUGUGUAUGAGAUCCUGGUUAAUCCUUUUCUAAGCUGGUGUCACAUGAGGUCUUACUGUGAGAGAACAUGAGAGAAUCCUGGUCCCUCUGGUUAUUAAGGAGGCCUACACAAGUGCCAUUGGUAUGUGUGAAAGCCUCUGAUCCACCAUGACUUUUUGGUUUAGUCCAGGUGAUGCUUCUGCAUACGAUGUUAAGUGAGCAGCUUGGUUUUAGCUGUAUGUGCUUUUCAAAAAUAUUGUUUCCUCACAUGCAAUUCUGUGUAUUAACCGUUUAUUUAGUUUUUAAUAUUUAUGUUUUUCCAAUAUUAUGCUUUCACAAUCAUAUGUUAAAAAGUGUAUUUUAAUCCCUAAAGCAGACAUUCUUUAAAGGUUUGUGCUCUAAUGCCUAUCCUACUCCUGGCCACUUGCCCUGUCCAGUUGUUUCUCCUCAACAUCUAAAAGAAUCUGAGACUUAUCAGAUUAUAAAACCUCUCAUCGAUGAUAAAAGCCAAAGCACUCCCUAAGCCCCAAGCACAACUAUUUCAAACUUGUGGAUAAAAGUUACAAGAUUAGGACUUGUAGAUAUUUCAUAAAAAGAUUGAUGCAAUCAUCUCCACUCAGCAUCUCUCCUUACAUACUCCGGUGGUUUCAAAUGUCUGCGAUGCAUGAUUUUUGAGAGCAAAUAGCUCUAUGAAUUAUUAUGAAAUGCGUCGGAGGAUGCAUGCAGAUGUGCUAAUCGAGUUUAAAUUGCGCCUGAAUGCCGCGGUGCAGAAGAAGAACACAAAGAGUUCACACAGUUUUCACACGUUCCCGUUCAUUCGC